UGGGGAAUUUUGCACAAUGGGGGAAACCCUGAUGCAGCGACGCCGCGUGAUUUAGAAGGCCUUCGGGUUGUAAAAAUCUUUUCUAUGGGAAGAAAAUGACAGUACCAUAGGAAUAAGGACCGGCUAAUUACGUGCCAGCAGCCGAGGUAAUACGUAAGGUCCGAGCGUUGUCCGGAAUCAUUGGGCGUAAAGGGUACGUAGGCGGGUAAGCAAGUUAGAAGUGAAAUCCUAUAGCUCAACUAUAGUAAGCUUUUAAAACUGCUCAUCUUGAGGUAUGGAAGGGAAAGUGGAAUUCCUAGUGUAGCGGUGAAAUGAGCAGAUAUUAGGAGGAAUACCGGUGGCGAAGGCGACUUUCUGGCCAUAACCUGACGCUGAGGUACGAAAGCGUGGGUAGCAAACAGG
rnacentral:rRNA from 1 species